rnacentral:rRNA from 1 species
GCGAACAGACGAGGAGCUUGCUCCUCUGACGUUAGCGGCGGACGGGUGAGUAACACGUGGAUAACCUACCUAUAAGGCUGGGAUAACUUCGGGAAACCGGAGCUAAUACCGGAUAAUAUAUUGAACCGCAUGGUUCAAUAGUGAAAGACGGUUUUGCUGUCACUUAUAGAUGGAUCCGCGCCGCAUUAGCUAGUUGGUAAGGUAACGGCUUACCAAGGCAACGAUGCGUAGCCGACCUGAGAGGGUGAUCGGCCACACUGGAACUGAGACACGGUCCAGACUCCUACGGGAGGCAGCAGUAGGGAAUCUUCCGCAAUGGGCGAAAGCCUGACGGAGCAACGCCGCGUGAGUGAUGAAGGUCUUCGGAUCGUAAAACUCUGUUAUUAGGGAAGAACAAAUGUGUAAGUAACUAUGCACGUCUUGACGGUACCUAAUCAGAAAGCCACGGCUAACUACGUGCCAGCAGCCGCGGUAAUACGUAGGUGGCAAGCGUUAUCCGGAAUUAUUGGGCGUAAAGCGCGCGUAGGCGGUUUUUUAAGUCUGAUGUGAAAGCCCACGGCUCAACCGUGGAGGGUCAUUGGAAACUGGAAAACUUGAGUGCAGAAGAGGAAAGUGGAAUUCCAUGUGUAGCGGUGAAAUGCGCAGAGAUAUGGAGGAACACCAGUGGCGAAGGCGACUUUCUGGU